UCAGUAUUAAGGUUCUAUGUCCCAACGGGCGCCUCUGAAGCCAAGAGGGGAAUGCACUGGGUCUUGCAGUUACAUGUAUGGAAGUGCACAUUAGGGCGCUCCUAGGCAGGGAUCUCCAGAAGCCUGGCUCUGCAGGCUGCUGGCCACAGCUACAAACAGUUGUUCAACAUCACAAGGCCUCUCAGGUCCCGCUGCUCCCAGCCUCAGACUGGUACCCAGUGUCUCCCAGGAGUGAACCCAUCAGCGGAGAGGGGCAGGAGAUGACAGGGCAGUGUCACCCAACUUGAGGUUAGAUGCAGCCCAAUCUGCAGACAGCACGGAGACAAAGGGCAUUUAUCAUGGGAGAUGGCACAGAUGGGGCAUUGUUAACCUGUAAUUAAUCGGGUGGUUAAAUGACAUCACGUAGCUGGGCCCCUCCGUGUGAACCUCCUGCCCAUUCUAGCAAGCAGAGAAGUAGAAGGUGGGUGCGGGAAAGCCGGGGCCGGGCAGGUAGCAACACAUGGAUUGGGGAAUGGCUUUGUACGCGUCUCAAAGAGGCCCCAGGGGAGAGCAUCAUAGCAGAGCAGGCAUGGAAAAGACCCUCCCCGGAGGAAGCAGGGGACGGACCGGAGCUGACCACAGGACCUCCCACUCCCACUGCCCCAUAAGUCUGCAACUCCCCCAAACAGGACUCCCCAACACAGGACAGAUGAGAACCGAAUGGAGAUAUAUUUUGAAACGCUCAUAUUUCUCUCUCCUCUCACGUCUUUGUUUCUUUUCUACAAUCCUGAGACUGCUGUUCAUCAACCCCCGGCGUCUGCACCACAAUGUCCCAGAGAGCAGUUACGCGGGGAAGUCAGUUCACAGUCAGACGAGCUGCAGCAAGGCCGGCAGGCAGGCACCGAGGGCAGAGCGAGGUUGUUCAAAUCACCAAGAAGGGGAAGGAAACCCUGCCCGGUGGCCCUCCCUCCCACCAAAGGAAGUGUCUGUCUGUGCUGUUCUCAGGAGCCUUCAGCCUCCUGGUGAGGGCCUCCUCUGCCGCCUGGGCGUCAGGGUGUCCCAACGCUUCUUGACACUCAAAGCAGAAACAAAACAGGUCCCCCGCCACGCUAUCCAGUUUACAUGAGGGAUAAAAUUACAUUUGUACAAAAAUAGAUUCAUUUACCCUUCCCGGUGCGUUAAACAUCCUCUAUCUUUCCUCCCUGCGGACGCCGCAUCCUCCCCACGGUGGCCGCACAGCCCAGCUAAGGCAUGGCUAGACAUCAGGGCACUCCAGCCCGAAGCAUCUGAAAAUAGAUGCAGCCCCUGCCUCCAGAGUCACCAGAGCCCGACUCCCGACAGAGGGGGACCUCGGGUCCUUGCUCACAAGAAGCAAAUGUACAGGAAAAAGGGAAAGUCUUGAUUAAAAGGAACACAAACAUCAGUAACUGGGCCGAAUCUCCCGUCGCCUCUGCAGUCUCCACAGCCCGUGCUCACGCCACACACCUGUGUGCACGGGGACCAGGUCACAUGCCCCAGUUCUACGAUGGGGAUGGCAAUGACUAGCCAUUGGCUGCCUGCUUUGGCCAGGUAUCCUGGGAUGCCAGGGGAGGGGACUUGGGUGUCUCUUGGCGCUGUCACCAAGUCGCCCAGUAUCCCUGGGGAUGCUGCAGUUUGGAAAACUGAGGGUGUGGGGCCAAAUUCCCCCAGUGACUGUGGUAUCGGGGGUGACAAUGGGCCAGCAGCUGCCACAGGCCCUGCCGGCCAUCUUCGCUUCUCAGCCACGGGAGCCCCAACUGAACCUCCGAGCAGGGUGGUCACCCAGAUGAGGGAUAUGGCCCAGGAGCUGCAGGGUGAAGUCACGUGACCAUCGGUGGCAGCUGUCAUCCAACCAGGCUGAGGUGGGGAUGGGCGCAGGGUGGCUAAUGAGCUGAUGCUAGUGCUAUCUUUAGAAAAUUAAAGAUUGCUCCACCAUAAUAACAACAAUAAUAAUGACAAUCACCUUAAUUGAGCCAGAUUGGUAACAGGACUGAAGGUCUGGUUAAACGAAGCCCCAAUUUUCUCCUUAGUGACACCAUGCCCACACCACCACUGCAAACAAACAGCACUGCACCUGAUGACAGUGGCAAUGAGGCUAAAGGAGCAGGAAGCUCACCAGGGAAUCUAUAGUGACGAGCAGUGGUGGGUAAGGCUAUGUGGGCUAGUGGGGCUUGCGGCCAAGGCCCCAGUGCCUGACAGCCAGCCAAGCCCAGACGUGGCUCAGCCCCAGAACUUUCUCUGCUGGAGCCAGAGGAUGCUCAGUGGCUCAGAAACAGGGCACAGUGUAGAACAGGGCUGACACGAACAGUGGGAGAGGAGGUCUGCAGAAGGCACGGUCCUGGGUGUGGACUGGGGAAUCGGCUCCUCUGCCUAGUGCUACCAGCCCCAAAGGCUACAGAUUUUCUAGGAAAGCCUAGGAGAGGAGCAGCUGGCUGACUCCGGGAACUGUGAUGUCUCUCACAGACAUCUCCCAUGCCACUACGUGGAGAGAAGGGUGCAGGGAAGGUGUUUCUGGAAACUUUUAUAGGUGCCUCUGCUGGCUAUGGUUUUGGGAUUUUAAAAAGGCGAGAAAUCAAUGUGUUCUUCCCCACCAGGAAGCUGGAUCCUCCCACCCACCACCUCGAGGUCCAAUCCCCUACAUGGCCUGUUUCAUGAGGGCCUUCCUCCCACCCCACACACCAAUGGGAGACCAGCUGUGGGGACGCAGUAUGGCCAUAAUCACUAAGGCACCUGUGCCUGACAAACCCGGGCCCUGCAGUCUGAGACUAGAUCAUGAAGACUGGUACCCAAGGAGGCCCCACAGUGCAAACCCGGCCGGUCAACGGGAGAGGCACACUCAGAGCCACACGAGACAGGGCUGAAGUCUAAGCAGGUCUGACACAUAGAGCCCCUGGGUAAGGUUCUGGACAAUGUCCACAGGCACCACCAUACCGCGGCAGUCCCGGGAAGUCCCUGUCGGGAUUCUAACAGAAGCGGCCAGUCCAAGGAAGGGCCCAUGCUAGAGUCCCACACAGAGCCUGCUGAGUCAGCCGCACCCGACAGACCUGCCAUGUCUGCCCGGUUCACCUCCAAGCCCCUCAGGCCCCCCUCUCCAAAAACCAGACAACAGCCCUCCUCUCCUCCCUGAGCCUCAGGAUGUCCAGUGUCCCACAGGACCACUGAGGUGGAAACCCCAUUCUACGUAAGCCAGGGCAGCCCUCCAGGAGGACCCAUGGUGCCACCUUGCAGACCAGAAAGGAAGAUCUGUGAUAGGGAAAAGGCAGGCUACUCAGUUGGCUAACCCCGGU
ensembl:lncRNA